AAGUGGUUUAAGCUUUAAAGAAGCUAACUUUUCAAUGGAUGAUUUGUUUCAGGUGGUCGAAAUGUUGAGAGUUUCAUCUGUAAGAACAUGGCAAAUAGGGGUGUCUAUGGAAGAGUCGGAGGUAAUAUUAACCUGCAAGGCAACUUCUAUCUCAGCACAAACAGAAUAAAUAUGAGUGUCAGUACAUGUAUCACAAGUGUAAGUAUCAUCAAAAUCAAACAAAGAAGAAAAUCAGCAAAAGGUGAAUCAGGUGC
rnacentral:lncRNA from 1 species